UAAAGGUCUGCAGAGAACGAUGUCUUCUGCUGUAUGAGGGAAUGACUCAGCAUGGGAAAUUGAGGUGUCUGCCUUCUGUGCUCUCAUCCAAGAUCCCCCAACCCUGGAUUCUCCUCACACAGCUCCAGUCCACUCUGUCCUCCCUCUGCUGGAGCCCAAGCUUCCUCACCUCUCUCAGCCUCCAAAGAAUUGAAGAGACUUAGGACCUUUCUCUGGAUUAUCCUUUGGCAUAAGAAAAUGUUACGGUGGGCUUGACCUCUCUAGAACACUAGAACUUUCUCCAUAUAAACAAUAAGGGAAUAAAGAGGCCUGAAGAGUGGAAGAGAGAUUGGGGAACAGCAGAUUAGUAGAGCUGUCAGAAUACAUACAACAUUUUCCCA